rnacentral:lncRNA from 1 species
AGUUGGGGUGCUGGUGAUGGCUAGACCUUAGGCGCUGAGGGCGGGCCCAGGUGGUGGGGCGGGACAACGGAAUGAGGGCGGGGCUUAACGGAGCUUGGGGCAGUUGUGGGCGGCCUGGGUUGGGGCUAGGGACAGCAGGGGCCAGACGCAGGUCGGAUUGGGCGGGACUGGCCUCCUCCGAGAGAUCUCGGCAAGCACAUCCAAUUCAAGGGAGGCUUUUUUAUGCUAAGAGCUGAGCCAGGAGCAGCAGCAGCUGCUGGCCAUGUCCAUGGAGAAAGUCUUCCUUCUUCAACAGGCAGAGUUGGUGAGGAUCUGAGGAUUGCACAGUGGAUGUCAGGGAUGACAACAAAGGUGGUGACCAUCCUGGAACAAAUUCUUCUGGUGGGAGGCCGUGCUCUUCUGUCUUCACUUCAAGCUGCCCAGGGGCUUUUAGGGUGUGGCCAACAACACCUGGCUUUUCCCAGUUGGAACAGGGGAAAGCAGAGUAGCGCUUGGCACAGACUGAGGAAGCUGGAGAAAUGGAGAGGAGCUUCGCCUCCAAGUUUUCCUGGAAGCAGAGUUUCAAAGGCUCCACCUUGGACUCAGUCUCUUUAACCAGGCUCUGGAGACUCUGUCCCAUCUGGAGAGCCUAGGAAUCACAACUGAGGAGGAAAGCUUCUCUUUCAUCAGCCAGGGAAUGGAUGGAGUUCCAGCCCUUGAUGGAGCUGCAUCUUUAGCCUGACAGUUAGGGAACCUGGCAGCAGAGGGCUGGGGGCAGCGAGGGCUGGUACCUUAAAGUUGGACACUGAGUUUGAUGCGUUUCUUCAGUUCUUCAGCGUAACUCUGAUUUGA